rnacentral:rRNA from 1 species
AUUGAACGCUGGCGGCAGGCCUAACACAUGCAAGUCGAGCGGAGUGGCGGACGGGUGCGUAUUGCCUAGGAAUCUGCCUGGUAGCCGGGGGUAACGUCCGGCAACGGGCGCUAACACCGCAUACUAUCAGAUGAGCCUAGGUCGGUUUAGCUAGUUGGUGGGGUAAAGGCCUACCAAGGCGACGGUCCGUAACUGGUCUGAGAGGAUGAUCAGUCACACUGGAACUGAGACACGGUCCAGACUCCUACGGGAGGCAGCAGUGGGGAAUAUUGGACAAUGGGCGAAAGCCUGAGCCAGCAAUGCCGCGUGUGGGAAGAAGGUCUUCGGAUUGUAAAGCACUUUAAGUUGGGAGGCGUUACCAACAGAAUAAGCACCGGCUAACUUCGUGCCAGCCGCCGCGGUAAUAC